UUUUUUUUUUUUUUUUUUUUUUUACAUUCAUUCAUAUUUAUUCGGGU
rnacentral:ribozyme from 15 species